rnacentral:snoRNA from 1 species
AACCCAUGGUGAGGGCACCUUCUCAAUAAGUCCUUGUAUCUCUCCCAUCCAUCGUAAAGAGUUUCUAAGUCCAUCUGCACAAACGAAGAGAUAUGAUUACGUAAUUU